UGAGGAAUUUUGCGCAAUGGGAGCAAUCCUGACGCAGCAACGCCGCGUGGGUGAUGAAGGCCUUCGGGUCGUAAAGCCCUGUCAGGUGGGAAGAAUGUCCCGGGACUGAACAGGUUCCGGGAGUGACGGUACCACCAGAGGAAGCACCGGCUAACUCCGUGCCAGCAGCCGCGGUAAUACGGAGGGUGCAAGCGUUAUUCGGAAUUACUGGGCGUAAAGCGCGUGUAGGCGGUCCUGCAAGUCUGAUGCGAAAGCCCCGGGCUUAACCCGGGAAGUGCAUUGGAAACUGUGGGACGUGAGUUCUGGAGAGGAUUGGGGAAUUCCCGGUGUAGAGGUGAAAGUCGUAGAGAUCGGGAGGAAUAUCAGUGGCGAAGGCGCCCAUCUCGACGGUAACUGACGCUGAGACGCGAAAGCGUGGGGAGCAAACA
rnacentral:rRNA from 1 species